AUUGAACGCUGGCGGCAGGCCUAACACAUGCAAGUCGAACGGUAACAGGAAGCAGCUUGCUGCUUUGCUGACGAGUGGCGGACGGGUGAGUAAUGUCUGGGAAACUGCCCGAUGGAGGGGGAUAACUACUGGAAACGGUAGCUAAUACCGCAUAACGUCGCAAGACCAAAGAGGGGGACCUUAGGGCCUCUUGCCAUCGGAUGUGCCCAGAUGGGAUUAGCUAGUAGGUGGGGUAACGGCUAACCAAGGCGACGAUCCCUAGCUGGUCUGAGAGGAUGACCAGCCACACUGGAACUGAGACACGGUCCAGACUCCUACGGGAGGCAGCAGUGGGGAAUAUUGCACAAUGGGCGCAAGCCUGAUGCAGCCAUGCCGCGUGUAUGAAGAAGGCCUUCGGGUUGUAAAGUACUUUCAGCGGGGAGGAAGGGAGUAAAGUUAAUACCUGUGCUCAUUGACGUUACCCGCAGAAGAAGCACCGGCUAACUCCGUG
rnacentral:rRNA from 1 species